GAUGAACGCUGGCGGCGUGCCUAAUACAUGCAAGUCGAGCGAACGGACGAGAAGCUUGCUUCUCUGAUGUUAGCGGCGGACGGGUGAGUAACACGUGGAUAACCUACCUAUAAGACUGGGAUAACUUCGGGAAACCGGAGCUAAUACCGGAUAAUAUUUUGAACCGCAUGGUUCAAAAGUGAAAGACGGUCUUGCUGUCACUUAUAGAUGGAUCCGCGCUGCAUUAGCUAGUUGGUAAGGUAACGGCUUACCAAGGCAACGAUGCAUAGCCGAACAGUGACGAUGAGCAGACAUACCGCAAAUAGAACACUAUUCAGACUCCGAGGUGAAGCAGCCUGGAGGACUCUUCCGUGAUGGGGCGAAGCCGGACGGAUCAACGGCGCUUGAGGGAUGAAAUGCUACAGGCUCUUAAACUCUGUUAUUUGGGAAGAACAUACGCGUAAGUAACUGUGCACGUCUUAACAGUACCUAAUCAGAAAGACACGGCUAACUACGUG
rnacentral:rRNA from 1 species